CACAUGCAAGUCGAGGGGCAGCAUGAACUUAGCUUGCUAAGUUUGAUGGCGACCGGCGCACGGGUGAGUAACGCGUAUCCAACCUUCCGUUUACUCGGGUAUAGCCUUUCGAAAGAAAGAUUAAUCCCCGAUAGUAUGGUAAGAUUGCAUGAAAUUACCAUUAAAGAUUAAUCGGUAAACGAUGGGGAUGCGUUCCAUUAGGUAGUAGGCGGGGUAACGGCCCACCUAGCCGACGAUGGAUAGGGGUUCUGAGAGGAAGGUCCCCCACAUUGGAACUGAGACACGGUCCAAACUCCUACGGGAGGCAGCAGUGAGGAAUAUUGGUCAAUGGGCGAGAGCCUGAACCAGCCAAGUAGCGUGAAGGAUGAAGGUUCUAUGGAUUGUAAACUUCUUUUAUAAGGGAAUAACGGGCACUACGUGUAGUGUUAUGCAUGUACCUUAUGAAUAAGCAUCGGCUAACUCCGUGCCAGCAGCCGCGGUAAUACGGAGGAUGCGAGCGUUAUCCGGAUUUAUUGGGUUUAAAGGGAGCGUAGGCGGGAGAUUAAGUCAGCUGUGAAAGUUUGCGGCUCAACCGUAAAAUUGCAGUUGAUACUGUAUAUCUUGAGUACAGUAGAGGUGGGCGGAAUUCGUGGUGUAGCGGUGAAAUGCUUAGA
rnacentral:rRNA from 1 species